AAUUUUUUUGGGGUUUUAGUCCAAACCCUGACUUUUUUGGAUUAGUGCUUCUUUUGAGCUAGUUUCGUUGCGGAUUUGGUCCCUCGGUAUUUUGAAAUGACUGUAAUGCCCUUAUGAUUUAUUUUUUUAUAUUUUUUGUAUUUAAUUUAAAUGAAAAAGAAAACAAGUAAUUAAUUUGGGCCCACAUCUCUCUCUCUCUCUCUCUCUCUCUCUUCUUUAGUGAUAAAUACACAAGAAUAUGAAUCUCAAGAACAUUUUUUUCCUGAUUUCAACAACAAGAACAUCACAUUCACAAACCCAUAAAUUAUUCACGAACCCAUAAAGCUUUUCUUCUUGAUUUUCCAGAAACCAUUCAUGAACCCCCAAAAUUUCUUCCAAGAUCCUUUAAACCCAAAACUGAAACCCAUCACACCUACCUUGAAACCAAUCUCCAACCAAAUAACCCUUGAAUACUGCGAAUAUGAAGAUUACAACGAGGAUAAGAAGGUAUCUAAAAUCGCAAGACCAUCUCUCCAUUUUUUUUUCAUCCGUAAGGUUGCUUUUUUGUAGAUCAAAAGAUUCAGAGUAGCAAUGGAACUGAAGCCUUAAAUCUCUGUUCGUAAAGGGGGUCAGGAAUUUUGACUUAAUUCUUUUCCGUUCUUCUGGGUAGUUGAAUCUUCUUGCAUAAGUUUACCCAUGAAAUUUCAACAUCUGGGUCGUCCCGAGUUUUCUGGGUUUUUAGGUUGUUGAUUUCAAAUACAGAUUCUUCAACAGUGAGAUAAAGAGGUUUCUUGGUGGUGAAGAUGACAGAUGAAACUGAGAGGUGGAGCAAUAUCCCAUCUGGUUUUUAUUUUUCUAUCAUAUUUUAUUUUUGAAUCUUAGGAUCUGAAUUCACGGUUGAUCUCUGAACAUGUUUGAGAUCAUAUCUUUUGUUUUUUUAGAUUGUGGCUAUGCUUGAAACAACUCGAAUCAUUGAUGUUAAGAAUCUGUUUGUGCAUCAGAUGUUUAAAAAAAUGGCCUUAAAAAUGUGCAAUUUUUUAUUUAA